CUUUCUUUGCUGGCGACCGGCGCACGGGUGAGUAACACGUAUCCAACCUGCCCUUUACUCGGGGAUAGCCUUUCGAAAGAAAGAUUAAUACCCGAUAGUAUAAUGAUUCCGCAUGGUUUCAUUAUUAAAGGAUUCCGGUAAAGGAUGGGGAUGCGUUCCAUUAGGUUGUUGGUGAGGUAACGGCUCACCAAGCCUUCGAUGGAUAGGGGUUCUGAGAGGAAGGUCCCCCACAUCGGAACUGAGACACGGUCCAA
rnacentral:rRNA from 1 species